UAUAUCCUGAAGUGUACGUUACCACUCUAUUUUUGAACCUACAUCUUUUUACAGGGAGUCCGGAUGUCUCUUAGACGAUGUCGUGCCGCCUUUGAGCGGAUGGCUGGUGCUUAGAGCAGGGCACCCACCUAGCAUCCGCUAGGCGUCAAAAAUAUGGGACGGCACAUUCGGGAUUUUU
rnacentral:other from 1 species